rnacentral:rRNA from 2 species
UUUGAGAGUUUGAUCCUGGCUCAGGACGAACGCUGGCGGCGUGCCUAAUACAUGCAAGUCGAACGAACUCUGGUAUUGAUUGGUGCUUGCAUCAUGAUUUACAUUUGAGUGAGUGGCGAACUGGUGAGUAACACGUGGGAAACCUGCCCAGAAGCGGGGGAUAACACCUGGAAACAGAUGCUAAUACCGCAUAACAACUUGGACCGCAUGGUCCGAGUUUGAAAGAUGGCUUCGGCUAUCACUUUUGGAUGGUCCCGCGGCGUAUUAGCUAGAUGGUGGGGUAACGGCUCACCAUGGCAAUGAUACGUAGCCGACCUGAGAGGGUAAUCGGCCACAUUGGGACUGAGACACGGCCCAAACUCCUACGGGAGGCAGCAGUAGGGAAUCUUCCACAAUGGACGAAAGUCUGAUGGAGCAACGCCGCGUGAGUGAAGAAGGGUUUCGGCUCGUAAAACUCUGUUGUUAAAGAAGAACAUAUCUGAGAGUAACUGUUCAGGUAUUGACGGUAUUUAACCAGAAAGCCACGGCUAACUACGUGCCAGCAGCCGCGGUAAUACGUAGGUGGCAAGCGUUGUCCGGAUUUAUUGGGCGUAAAGCGAGCGCAGGCGGUUUUUUAAGUCUGAUGUGAAAGCCUUCGGCUCAACCGAAGAAGUGCAUCGGAAACUGGGAAACUUGAGUGCAGAAGAGGACAGUGGAACUCCAUGUGUAGCGGUGAAAUGCGUAGAUAUAUGGAAGAACACCAGUGGCGAAGGCGGCUGUCUGGUCUGUAACUGACGCUGAGGCUCGAAAGUAUGGGUAGCAAACAGGAUUAGAUACCCUGGUAGUCCAUACCGUAAACGAUGAAUGCUAAGUGUUGGAGGGUUUCCGCCCUUCAGUGCUGCAGCUAACGCAUUAAGCAUUCCGCCUGGGGAGUACGGCCGCAAGGCUGAAACUCAAAGGAAUUGACGGGGGCCCGCACAAGCGGUGGAGCAUGUGGUUUAAUUCGAAGCUACGCGAAGAACCUUACCAGGUCUUGACAUACUAUGCAAAUCUAAGAGAUUAGACGUUCCCUUCGGGGACAUGGAUACAGGUGGUGCAUGGUUGUCGUCAGCUCGUGUCGUGAGAUGUUGGGUUAAGUCCCGCAACGAGCGCAACCCUUAUUAUCAGUUGCCAGCAUUAAGUUGGGCACUCUGGUGAGACUGCCGGUGACAAACCGGAGGAAGGUGGGGAUGACGUCAAAUCAUCAUGCCCCUUAUGACCUGGGCUACACACGUGCUACAAUGGAUGGUACAACGAGUUGCGAACUCGCGAGAGUAAGCUAAUCUCUUAAAGCCAUUCUCAGUUCGGAUUGUAGGCUGCAACUCGCCUACAUGAAGUCGGAAUCGCUAGUAAUCGCGGAUCAGCAUGCCGCGGUGAAUACGUUCCCGGGCCUUGUACACACCGCCCGUCACACCAUGAGAGUUUGUAACACCCAAAGUCGGUGGGGUAACCUUUUAGGAACCAGCCGCCUAAGGUGGGACAGAUGAUUAGGGUGAAGUCGUAACAAGGUAGCCGUAGGAGAACCUGCGGCUGGAUCACCUCCUU